CACAUGUAUCUUUAUAUCAGCAGGUACUUCAAGAGCUGAUGGUUCGAGAGUCAGACUUGUAACCUGAAGGUCAUGGGUCCGAGUCUCAGUACCAGCAGGGAUUGUAGGUGUAGGUGCGCUCACUUCCACGCUCAAAACCACUGAGGUGCCCUCGAACAAGACACUGAACCUCAAACUGCUGUAGUUGGUGCUGAAGCAGGGAUAUGUGUAUGUGGGUAAGGAGAGUUGACUGUGAGGGUGAGAGCAGAAGAUUUCAAAAGUCCAAAAAUAAGGACCUCCCUAGUCUGAUGUCAUGAUGUCAGUCAUCUGAAAGUCUCAGGCUGAAACUGAAGACGCUUCUGCCUCCUAGUAGAGCGGAUGGAAACUGCACAUCAGGAGGCGAUGUCCCUGAUCUCUUCUGACUGUGAUUCAGUGUUUGUGAAGUCGAUGGAGGGAUAAUGAAGAUAUUCCUGUGCACCUGGUGCAGUGGAUGACCACAUGCCGUUAUCAUACACAAACUGACCGACAUUAUCCAGAGCAAUGGCCUGAUGGAGAAGAAACAGCAAAAUGAGUGAAGAUCUGCUGAACAACUGUCUGUAAUGUCUUUUAGAAUGAAUCACUCACUGUUUGAGUCGGAGUGUGUCCAGAUGUGUCGUCUUGUCUGGUUUCUGAAGGGCAUUUGUACCCACCGAACACAGUAGAGCAUCACGAUGCACACGAUCAGCAUCAGUAAAACACCGACAGCUGCUCCGAGCAGCACCGAUGGAUAAUGGAAACCUGAAAAGGAGUGCUUUAUUGCUCAGAGACUUCAGUGUCUUGGCAAAUAUGAACACAUUUCUCAGGAUUAAAGUCCGUUUGGGCUCCAUUUGAUCAUCACUUAAGUAUAACUAAGUCCUCUAAGAAGACAGCAGAACGUCCCUGAGACGAGUGAGGAGUGGCAUGGAAGCGAUCAGCCUGUGCACUGCUGAGGCAUUAUUGAGCCUUCAGCUCGGAUCGACCGUUUCUCAUCUUUCUCUUGAAAAUAUCCCAUAGGUUCUAUAUGGGAUUCAGGUUAGGCAUGUUGGCUGGCCAAUUAGCACAUUAAUAUAAUGGUCAGCAAACCACUUGGAAGUGGAUUUGGCAUUCUGGGCAGGUCCUGCUGGAAAAGGAAAUCGGCAUCUCCAUAAAACUUGUCAUCAGAUGAAAGCAUAAAGCGCUUCAAAAUCUCCUGGUAGAUGGCUGCAUUGACUUUGGACUUGAUAUACAACACAAUGGACCAACACCAGCAGACCAACAGACGUCACGGUACCCCAAAUCAUCAUUGGCUUCAGAAAAUUCACACUAGACUUCAAGCAGCUUGGAUUGUGUGCCUCUCCAGACUCCGGACCUUGAUUUCCUAA